GAUUUUAUCUGAAAAAGUUAUCAAUAACAAAGUUGUAUAACUCAUCAGGAUCUAUAACUUCUAUUUUGGUCAUUUCUUCAUUCGAUAAAGUGAUUUGUAAGAUUGUUCACAAAAUGUACAUCUCUUAUAUAGUUUUAUAAAAACUAUAUAAGAGAUGUUUAUUAUGUGAACAAUCUUACGAAUAACUUUGUUGGACAAAGAAAUGACCAAAAUAAAAGUUAUAGAUCUUGAUGAGUUAUACAAAUUUAUUGCUGAUGACUUUUUCAGUUGAAAUC
rnacentral:pre_miRNA from 1 species